ACGGGAGGCAGCAGUGGGGAAUAUUGCACAAUGGAGGAAACUCUGAUGCAGCAACGCCGCGUGAGUGAAGAAGUAUUUCGGUAUGUAAAGCUCUAUCAGCAGGGAAGAAAAUGACGGUACCUGACUAAGAAGCCCCGGCUAACUACGUGCCAGCAGCCGCGGUAAUACGUAGGGGGCAAGCGUUAUCCGGAUUUACUGGGUGUAAAGGGAGCGCAGACGGCGUGACAAGUCUGAAGUGAAAGCCUGGGGCUCAACCCCGGAACUGCUUUGGAAACUGCCAGGCUAGAGUGCUGGAGAGGCAAGCGGAAUUCCUAGUGUAGCGGUGAAAUGCGUAGAUAUUAGGAAGAACACCAGUGGCGAAGGCGGCUUGCUGGACAGUAACUGACGUUCAGGCUCGAAAGCGUGGGGAGCAAACAGGAUUAGAUACCCUGGUA
rnacentral:rRNA from 1 species